GACGAACGCUGGCGGCGUGCUUAACACAUGCAAGUCGAACGGUAAGGCCCUCCGGGGUACACGAGUGGCGAACGGGUGAGUAACACGUGGGUGAUCUGCCCUGCACUUCGGGAUAAGCCUGGGAAACUGGGUCUAAUACCGGAUAGGACUCCGGACUGCAUGGUCUGGGGUGGAAAGCUUUUGCGGUGUGGGAUGGGCCCGCGGCCUAUCAGCUUGUUGGUGGGGUGAUGGCCUACCAAGGCGACGACGGGUAGCCGGCCUGAGAGGGUGACCGGCCACACUGGGACUGAGAUACGGCCCAGACUCCUACGGGAGGCAGCAGUGGGGAAUAUUGCACAAUGGGCGCAAGGCUGAUGCAGCGACGCCGCGUGAGGGAUGACGGCCUUCGGGUUGUAAACCUCUUUCAGCAUCGACGAAGCGAAAGUGACGGUAGGUGCAGAAGAAGGACCGGCCAACUACGUGCCAGCCGCCGCGGUAA
rnacentral:rRNA from 1 species